rnacentral:rRNA from 1 species
CCUACGGGAGACAGCAGUGAGGAAUAUUGGUCAAUGGGCGCGAGCCUGAACCAGCCAAGUAGCGUGAAGGAUGACUGCCCUACGGGUUGUAAACUUCUUUUAUAAAGGAAUAAAUUGAGGCACGUGUACCUUUUUGUAUGUACUUUAUGAAUAAGGAUCGGCUAAUUCCGUGCCAGCAGCCGCGGUAAUACGGAGGAUCCGAGCGUUAUCCGGAUUUAUUGGGUUUAAAGGGAGCGUAGAUGGGUUGUUAAGUCAGUUGUGAAAGUUUGCGGCUCAACCUUAAAAUUGCAAUUGAUACUGGCAGGCUUGAGUACAGUUGAGGUAGGUGGAAUUCGUGGUGUAGCGGUGAAAUGCUUAGAUAUCACGAAGAACUCCGAUUGCGAAGGCAGCUUACUAAACUGCGACUGACAUUGAGGCUCGAAAGCUUGGGUAUCAAACAGGAUUAGAUACCCUUGUAGUC